UACACGUAUUUAGGGAUGAAUAUGCGUGAUAUAGGCCUACUGGGGAACCGAGCACAUAAAAAUAAUAUCGAAAUGCAAAAUGCCCAAAAGUUAUUUUUAAAGUAUCCAAUCCAUUUUCUUUCAACAGUGGCAUUAUUGACAAAUGUUUUAAAAAAUGUGGGUUUUGACAGCUCUCUCUCGAAUCAAAGAGUUUCGUAUCAUGUCAUUAUUUCUCUGUCAACAAAUCUUUAUAAUUAUCCCACAGCAUUUGUGCUCGGAUCAGGAAACAUGUUAUCAGUACUAAAUAGUAAACAAAUUUGUGUUCCUGUGCAAUUUAAUGCAGCUGUAGCAAACAUAUUCUAGCAAUCGCAGUUGUCCAUUUUUUUACGCAUAUAUUGAAAUUACAAUGGUCUGGUGACAUUAUCCAACAACAGUCGCAGAUAAAAGCACUCAGUCUACUAUGGAUUGACUGUAUAUACACGACCCAAAUAUUAUAGCACGAUUUCGUUUGUGAAAAAUACGCGCUGACCGUUUUCGAGAUACAGAACUAAAUAGAUAGAUCCUGUUUAUUUGUUUGGAAACCGAAGGUACCCCAGGAAGCUUCAUUGUAGCUGAUAAACCGGCCCAUUUGGUACAAUAGUACUUUCAAUUCUAAAUUCACUUAGACUGAUUUGAAUGAAACUCUCAGGAAAUCUUAAGAUUGGCCUGACGAGUAAUCCUGUAAAGUUUGGUGACGAUCGGAGCACUUUUCUGUUUGAACUGCCAAAUACAGUUUUUAUUUACUAUGAUGAUAUUUUAUUGUUUUAUAACCCAAAUUUGUGUUGACACAUGCGUUGUGGAUAUAUGUAUUGUAUAUUUCAUCACGAAGCAUAUUGAAAUAGAAUGGAGUAUAAUAAAGUAUAUUAAAGUAAAUAAUUAAGGAUUUUUAAGAAUUUGAGAAUCAUUGUAAUGAAUAAAAAAUGGCACCAAAAAAAGAAAGUAUUGGUAAAAAAAAAAAACCUCCAAAUCAAAGAAAGUUAAGGAAAAAUGGGCAAAUGAAACAGCUAAGGAACGUGAGUUACGCCUUGAGAAAAAUCGUAACAGAAUAUCUACAAGAAGUAAUAUGGAAACUGAAGAAGAGCGUGAACAAAAUUGUGAUAAAGAAACUUCAUCACGAGCUACCGAGACAAUUCGAAAACGUACGCAAAUACUUGAUGAACCCGAAUGGCUCAAUCACGAAAAAGAAUAGAUUUAAAACUUGCGGCGUUCAACUACAGUAAGGAUGACGACUACAGAAAUCACAAGGAGCUAGUGAUCGGUGCAAUGAACAAAGUUUGUUCAUAUUGUGGUGCUUUGAAGUUCGCGAAAGAGUCCCCUGGAAUGUGCUGUUCGAACGCUUCUUUGUUGUGCUUGCAGUGGUUCAUUUAAAUCCGUUCAUUCGUGAAUGCAUAUCUGUAUUCACUUGUGUAAAUGUCAAAAGCUAACCUAGCUCUUGAGGAGUAUACAGUUUCCGUUCUUUGGUUUGCUGUGAAAAUUGCAAUUCAGCAAAGCAAAAUUCAAAACAAGAAUUAACACAACACAGUAAAAUUGAAAAACAGUAGGUAUAUAUAUCGUCACCUACAUUCGAUAACGUGUUGUACUGAGUACGAUUCACAUCAUAUUUCAUAUAAUAUUAAAAAAGUUCAAGCUUCAGCUACCAGAUGUAUCUAAGGUAUAAACAAAGUUCCAGUUUAUAUUUUAUAUCGUGUUUCCUAUUCCUGUAAACUUAACAAACAAAAUGUUACGUUAUUUCGCAUUUUAGGUGACGAUAUUUUUUAAUACUUACUAUUAGCAUAGCAUGCCGGCUCGACGCCAUUUCGCAAAUAAUUUUAUCAUAAAUUCCCACACAUACAUAAUGACAAUAUAUGUAUAUAUAUUAAAUAUAUAUGUAUAUAUAUUACAUAAUAUAAGACCUCAAACACAAAUUUAAAUAUAUAUAUAUGUCAAAAGUUACAGUUACAUAUAGUAGAAUAACAAAUUAUUAUUUCUAUAUACAUAUACUACUAGUGAAAUUUAAGAAAAUAAACUGUCUAUGAUUUAUA